UACGUAGGGUGCAAGCGUUAAUCGGAAUUACUGGGCGUAAAGCGUGCGCAGGCGGUUUUGUAAGUUUGUCGUGAAAGCCCCGGGCUCGACCUGGGAAUUGCGAUGAAGACUGCAAGGCUUGAAUCUGGCAGAGGGGGGUAGAAUUCCACGUGUAGCAGUGAAAUGCGUAGAGAUGUGGAGGAACACCGAUGGCGAAGGCAGCCCCCUGGGUCAAGAUUGACGCUCAUGCACGAAAGCGUGGGGAGCAAACAGG
rnacentral:rRNA from 1 species